GGCAGAGGAGAACAAAGGAAGGAGGAAGUAACUGGUGGAAUGCUGAGAAAGCAUUUCAGUGUGCGGCAUCAUCAUGCAAGCUCUGUAAGAGGAGAGUAAGAUCAGUACUCCUACUUGUAAAUGAAAGAGAAGAAAACAAAAACAAGCAAAUUCCUUCUAAGGUGUGAGGAACACGAGUAAACAGAGAAAUCACCUAAGGAGAAAACAGGAAGCAGAUUUGAAACUGUGGCCACCAACGACACGAGGGAGCGCAAAACCCAGCCCACUUGCCAGGGAGGCUGGCAGAGCCCACACCCAGUCUGGUGCCCUGGUCGGUUACAUUCUGCUCUCCCUGCAGCAUUUUUAGAAGGUACCAAAUAAGAAAAACGUGGAUGAAGAUGGAGAAAGCAUACAAAACUUUUACACACUGGUUUGAAGCUGUCACCGCGCGGAACAUAAAGAACAGGCCAAGACCAGUGCAGGCAUCGACGACUUUCUCCAUUCAGAGCCUCCGCGCAUCCCAAAUAAAUAAACACAUCAAAACGUGCAAA
rnacentral:lncRNA from 1 species